rnacentral:rRNA from 1 species
CAUUAGAGUUUGAUCCUGGCUCAGGACGAACGCUGGCGGCGUGCUUAACACAUGCAAGUCGAACGGUGACCUCGGAGCUUGCUCCGGGCGAUCAGUGGCGAACGGGUGAGUAACACGUGAGUAACCUGCCCCAGACCCUGGGAUAACCCCGGGAAACCGGAGCUAAUACCGGAUACGACGCGAAGAGGCAUCUCUAUCGCGUGGAAAGUUUUUCGGUCUGGGAUGGACUCGCGGCCUAUCAGCUUGUUGGUGAGGUAACGGCUCACCAAGGCGACGACGGGUAGCCGGCCUGAGAGGGCGACCGGCCACACUGGGACUGAGACACGGCCCAGACUCCUACGGGAGGCAGCAGUGGGGAAUAUUGCACAAUGGGCGAAAGCCUGAUGCAGCGACGCCGCGUGGGGGAUGACGGCCUUCGGGUUGUAAACCCCUUUCAGCACGGAAGAAGCGCAAGUGACGGUACCUGCAAAAGAAGCACCGGGUAACUACGUGCCAGCAGCCGCGGUAAUACGUAGGGUGCGAGCGUUGUCCGGGAUUAUUGGGCGUAAAGAGCUUGUAGGGGGUCUUGUCGGGUCUGCUGGGGAAAUCCGGGGCUCGACCCGGGACUGGGGGGGGGGACGGGCAGACUANCAUGGGGGGAGGGGAGAAGGGAAAUGCCUGGUGUAGCCGUGGAAAGCGGCAAAUUUCGGGAGGAACGCGCAUUGCGGAAGGCGGGGCGCGGGGCCCGUAUGGACGUGGAAAGACNGAACCGUGGAGCGGCAACGGGAAUUGGAGGCCCGUGGAGGACGGGGGCGAGGGGGGGGGGCGGGGUGGGGGGGCCUGUUGACGGGGAGG